GGGGUGAUUGAGAGGAAAGAAUCUGCUUGGCAUGCAGAAGGUCCCAGGUUCAAUCCCUGGAAACUCCA
rnacentral:tRNA from 1 species